UACGUAGGGGGCUAGCGUUGUCCGGAUUUAUUGGGCGUAAAGAGCGUGUAGGCGGCCAAGUAGGUCCGGUGUGAAAACUGGAGGCUCAACCUUCAGACGUCGACGGAAACCGUCUGGCUAGAGUCCGGAAGAGGAGAGUGGAAUUCCUGGUGUAGCGGUGAAAUGCGCAGAUAUCAGGAAGAACACCGAUGGCGAAGGCAGCUCUCUGGGACGGUACUGACGCUGAGACGCGAAAGCGUGGGGAGCGAACAGG
rnacentral:rRNA from 1 species